rnacentral:lncRNA from 12 species
UUCUAAGAAGUGGUGGUGAUGCUUGGGUACCUGUCCCUUCCAUGCUCUGGCGUGAUACAGCAGCAGCUCUUGGCAUCUGGAGACUCUGCUUUUCCAACUGCUCCAAGGAGUAUUCAUCCUGAAUUGCUCAGCAGAACAGCAUUGGUGCGUUGCAACAGGAGGAUAAAAAUGAG